UACGUAGGGUGCGAGCGUUGUCCGGAUUUAUUGGGCGUAAAGAGCUCGUAGGUGGUCUGUUGCGUCGGUUGUGAAAACCCGGGGCUUAACUCCGGGCCUGCAGUCGAUACGGGCAGACUAGAGUUCGGCAGGGGAGACUGGAAUUCCUGGUGUAGCGGUGAAAUGCGCAGAUAUCAGGAGGAACACCGAUGGCGAAGGCAGCUCACUGGGACGGAUACUGACGCUGAGACGCGAAAGCGUGGGGAGCAAACAGG
rnacentral:rRNA from 1 species